rnacentral:rRNA from 1 species
CGUGGAUCGAUUUGUCUGGUUUAUUCCGAUAACGAGCGAGACUCUAGCCUACUAAAUAGUAACGAGAUUAUCAAUGUCUCAGUUGCUUCUUAGAGGGAUUUUCGGUGUUUAGCCGCACGAGAUUGAGCAAUAACAGGUCUGUGAUGCCCUUAGAUGUUCUGGGCUGCACGCGCGCUACACUGAAGGUAUCAGCAUGUGUACCCUGUCCGAGAGGACUGGGAAACCCGUUGAACC